rnacentral:misc_RNA from 1 species
AAUCUCCCACCCCAAGCGGUUUUUGAAUGUGAAACGGCUUGGCGGAUGGGGUCUGGAUGGGUGCCUCUGCCUGUGCUAAACCUUAGCCCACAGGCUCGCCCGAAAUGCAUGAGCGCCUUGGGACACUUUGCAUCCGCCUCUCUUGUGGGAGGAGGCGGCCAAGCAGUGUUUUUCUCCAGGCAUGGCAUGAUUCGUCAGUUGCUAUGUCGCCCAAUGGAGGAAUGUUUGGUUGUGUCUGCGUGUGCUUCGAACUUGCCUCUGUGCAAAUAUCCCCUUUCAC